CUACGGGCGGCACCAGUGAGGAAUAUUGCACAAUGGGGGGAACCCUGAUGCAGCAACGCCGCGUGGAGGAUGACGCAUUUCGGUGUGUAAACUCCUUUUAUAUGUCAAGAAAAUGACGGUAGCAUAUGAAUAAGCACCGGCUAACUCCGUGCCAGCAGCCGCGGUAAUACGGGGGUGCAAGCGUUACUCGGAAUCACUGGGCGUAAAGGACGCGUAGGCGGGUUGGAAAGUCAGGUGUGAAACCCUACAGCUUAACUGUAGAACUGCGCUUGAAACUUCUAAUCUAGAGUAUGGGAGGGGGAGAUGGAAUUAGUGGUGUAGGGGUAAAAUCCGUAGAUAUCACUAGGAAUACCUAAAGCGAAGGCGAUCUCCUGGAACAUUACUGACGCUAAGGCGUGAAAGCGUGGGGAGCAAACAGGAUUAGAUACCCUCGUAGUC
rnacentral:rRNA from 1 species